rnacentral:rRNA from 1 species
GCCAGCCGCCGCGGUAAACGUAGGAGGCGAGCGUUAUCCGGAUUUACUGGGCAUAAAGCGUGUGUAGGCGGUUUGAUAAGUUGGAUGUGAAAGCUCCUGGCUUAACUGGGAGAGGUCGUUCAAAACUAUCAGACUUGAGAGUGGUAGAGGGAGGUGGAAUUCCGCAUGUAGUGGUGAAAUGCGUAGAUAUGCGGAGGAACACCAGUGGCGAAAGCGGCCUCCUGGCCCAUUUCUGACGCUCAGACACGAAAGCUAAGGUAGCAAACGGGAUUAGAGACCCCGGUAGUCUUAGCUGUAAACGAUGUGAACUUAGUGUCGGUGGGGUUAAAUCCAUCGGUACUGAAGCUAACGCGAUAAGUUCACCGCCUGAGGACUACGGCCGCAAGGUUAAAACUCAAAGGAAUUGACGGGGCCCCGCACGAGCAGCGGAGCGUGUGGUUUAAUUCGAUGUUACACGAAGAACCUUACCAGGGUUUGACAUGCAAGUGGUAGGAAACCGAAAGGCGACCGACCCUUCGGGGAGCUUGCACAGGUGCUGCAUGGCUGUCGUCAGCUCGUGUCGUGAGAUGUUCGGUUAAGUCCGCUAACGAGCGCAACCCUCGCUGUGUGUUAUAUGUGUCACACGGGACUGCCGGUCUUAAGCCGGAGGAAGGUGAGGAUGAUGUCAAGUCAGCAUGGCCUUUAUAUCCUGGGCUACACACACGCUACAAUGGCCAACACAAUAGGUUGCUAAGCCGCGAGGUGGAGCCAAUCCAUAAAGUUGGUCUCAGUUCAGAUUGUAGGCUGCAACCCGCCUGCAUGAAGAUGGAGUUGCUAGUAACCGCAGGUCAGCUAUACUGCGGUGAAUACGUUCCCGGGGCUUGCACACACCGCCCGUGCACACCGCCCGUACACACCGCCCGUACUCUCCGCCCGUACACACCGCCCAAGGGCGAA